AAUACCCCGCUGCUCGCCCGGAAACUACAAGCCUCAGCUUAAAACCCAAAGGACUUGGCGGUGCUUUAGACCCCCCUAGAGGAGCCUGUUCUAGAAUCGAUAAUCCCCGAUACACCUCACCCUCUCUUGUUCCCUCCGCUUAUAUACCGCCGUCGUCAGCUUACCCUGUGAAGGUCAAACAGUAAGCAAAAUUGGCACACCCUAAAACGUCAGGUCAAGGUGUAGCGCAUGAGAGGGGAAGCAAUGGGCUACAUUUACUGUCCCAGUAAACACGGACUUUGCCCUGAAAAAAGCAUCUGAAGGAGGAUUUAGUAGUAAGAAAGGAUAAGAGCGCCUCUCUGAAAAUGGCCCUGAAGCGCGCACACACCGCCCGUCACUCUCCCCAACGGCCACACACUCAUAAUUAAUACCAACAUGCCAUAAAGGGGAGGCAAGUCGUAACAUGGUAAGCGUACCGGAAGGUGCGCUUGGAAAAACC
rnacentral:rRNA from 1 species